CUGUGUCUCGGGCAGCAAUGCUGCCCCCUUUCCUGCCCCAACAUCCCCAGCAGACACAAGAGAUGGAGACUAUGAGCUGCUCUCGUGGCUGGGUCUCGGGGUUCCUGCACCCUCAGGAGCUGAUGCUGACGCACUCCACUGCCUAUCCCCAGGAACCUACCUCGCGCCAUCUUCAUCUCCAUCCCACUGGUGACCUUCGUGUACACGUUCACCAACAUUGCCUACUUCACGGCCAUGUCCCCCCAGGAGCUGCUCUCCUCCAAUGCGGUGGCUGUGGUGAGUGGGCCCUUGCUCGGUCCCUGGCUCCUGCCCAGGUCCCUGCCCCGGCCUUACACACGGCCUCUCUACUGUGCCCACCCAGACCUUCGGGGAGAAGCUGCUGGGCUACUUUUCUUGGGUCAUGCCCGUCUCCGUGGCUCUGUCAACCUUCGGAGGGAUCAAUGGCUACCUGUUCACCUACUCCAGGUGACUGCACUGGGGAGACGUGGGCAUGGGGAGGGAAGGCUGGGGUGCAGGUGUGCGCCAGUCAUGCCGUGGGCCAGAGGAAGGGACACCUGCCAGGGGGAGGGGUCUGCCUGAAGCUGGGAUGAUGAUCCCACACGGUAACAAAUGUCUGAUCACAACUGGGAGGCAAAGAAAGCAAGAGGGAGGCAGGCUGGAUGAGGGGGAGAACUGUCCAGUGGGGCUGCUGGGCCCGGAGCAGGAGGUCAGAGGCGACAGCUUAAGAGGGACAUCAGGUCCAAAGCUGAGACCCAGGAUGUGGCCAGUGCCCAUCUCUGUCCCCAAUGCUAGGCUGUGCUUCUCUGGAGCCCGCGAGGGGCACCUGCCCAGCCUGCUGGCCAUGAUCCACGUCAGACACUGCACCCCCAUCCCCGCCCUCCUCGUCUGUUGCGGGGCCACAGCCAUCAUCAUGCUCGUGGGCGACACGUACACGCUCAUCAACUAUGUGUCCUUCAUCAACUACCUCUGCUACGGCGUCACCAUCCUGGGCCUGCUGCUGCUGCGCUGGAGGCGGCCUGCGCUCCACAGGCCCAUCAAGGUGAACCCUCUCAUCCCCGUGGCGUACUUGGUCUUCUGGGCCUUCCUGCUGGUCUUCAGCUUCAUCUCAGAGCCUAUGGUCUGUGGGGUCGGCGUCAUCAUCAUCCUUACGGGGGUGCCCAUUUUCUUUCUGGGAGUGCUCUGGAGAAGCAAACCAAAGUGUGUGCACAGACUCACAGAGUCCAUGACACACUGGGGCCAGGAGCUGUGUUUCGUGGUCUACCCCCAGGACGCCCCCGAAGAGGAGGAGAAUGGCCCCUGCCCACCCUCCCUGCUGCCUGCCACAGACAAGCCCUCGAAGCCACAAUGAGAUGUUUGUAGAGACUGAAGCAGCUGUUUCUGUUUACAUGUUGUUUAUUGAGGAGGUGUUUUGGCAAAAAAGUUUUGUUUUGUUUUUUUCUGGAAAAAAAAGAAAAAAGAUACGA
rnacentral:sRNA from 1 species